UGGGGAAUUGUUCGCAAUGGGCGCAAGCCUGACGACGCAACGCCGCGUGGAGGAUGAAGGUCUUCGGAUCGUAAACUCCUGUUGCCCGGGACGAAUAGCUUCGACCUAACACGUCGGAGUAUGACGGUACCGGGUGAGGAAGCCCCGGCUAACUCUGUGCCAGCAGCCGCGGUAAUACAGAGGGGGCAAGCGUUGUUCGGAAUUACUGGGCGUAAAGGGCGCGUAGGCGGCCUGUUAAGUCGAACGUGAAAUCCCUGGGCUCAACCCAGGAACUGCGUCCGAUACUGGCUGGCUUGAAUCCGGGAGAGGGAUGCGGAAUUCCAGGUGUAGCGGUGAAAUGCGUAGAUAUCUGGAGGAACACCGGUGGCGAAGGCGGCAUCCUGGACCGGUAUUGACGCUGAGGCGCGAAAGCAAGGGGAGCAAACAGGAUUAGAUCCCCGUAGUCCCUGAGCGGGCUGGCAAGGCGCAU
rnacentral:rRNA from 1 species